AAUAGGCAUUAAACUCUUACUUGUUGUGUAUUCAUAUUUACGAUCUUAAUAAAUCCGUCUAUAUAUAAACUA